rnacentral:rRNA from 1 species
AGAACGACUCUCGGCAACGGAUAUCUCGGCUCUCGCAUCGAUGAAGAACGUAGCGAAAUGCGAUACUUGGUGUGAAUUGCAGAAUCCCGUGAACCAUCGAGUCUUUGAACGCAAGUUGCGCCCCAAGCCGUUAGGCCGAGGGCACGUCUGCCUGGGUGUCACGC